rnacentral:rRNA from 1 species
AUUGAACGCUGGCGGCAUGCCUUACACAUGCAAGUCGAACGGUAACGCGGGGCAACCUGGCGACGAGUGGCGAACGGGUGAGUAAUGCAUCGGAACGUGCCCAGUAGUGGGGGAUAGCCCGGCGAAAGCCGGAUUAAUACCGCAUACGACCUACGGGUGAAAGGGGGGGAUCGCAAGACCUCUCGCUAUUGGAGCGGCCGAUGUCAGAUUAGGUAGUUGGUGGGAUAAAGGCCUACCAAGCCGACGAUCUGUAGCUGGUCUGAGAGGACGACCAGCCACACUGGGACUGAGACACGGCCCAGACUCCUACGGGAGGCAGCAGUGGGGAAUUUUGGACAAUGGGCGAAAGCCUGAUCCAGCCAUGCCGCGUGCGGGAAGAAGGCCGUCGGGUUGUAAACCGCUUUUGUCAGGGAAGAAAUCUUCUGGGUUAAUACCUCGGGAGGAUGACGGUACCUGAAGAAUAAGCACCGGCUAACUACGUGCCAGCCGCCGCCGUAACAC